UACGUAGGGUGCAAGCGUUAAUCGGAAUUACUGGGCGUAAAGCGUGCGCAGGCGGUUAUGCAAGACAGAGGUGAAAUCCCCGGGCUCAACCUGGGAACUGCCUUUGUGACUGUAUAGCUAGAGUACGGUAGAGGGGGAUGGAAUUCCGCGUGUAGCAGUGAAAUGCGUAGAUAUGCGGAGGAACACCGAUGGCGAAGGCAAUCCCCUGGACCUGUACUGACGCUCAUGCACGAAAGCGUGGGGAGCAAACAGG
rnacentral:rRNA from 1 species